GUAGGGGGCGAGCGUUAUCCGGAUUCAUUGGGCGUAAAGCGCGCGUAGGCGGCCGCCUAAGCGGAACCUCUAAUCCCGGGGCUCAACCUCGGGCCGGGUUCCGGACUGGGCGGCUCGAGUGCGGUAGAGGCAGGCGGAAUUCCCGGUGUAGCGGUGGAAUGCGCAGAUAUCGGGAAGAACACCGAUGGCGAAGGCAGCCUGCUGGGCCGCCACUGACGCUGANGCGCGAAAGCUGGGGGAGCGAACAGGAUUANAUACCCUGGUANUCCCAGCUGUAAACNAUGAUUACUA
rnacentral:rRNA from 1 species